UGGGGAAUAUUGGACAAUGGGCGCAAGCCUGAUCCAGCCAUGCCGCGUGAGUGAUGAAGGCCCUAGGGUUGUAAAGCUCUUUCUCCGGUGAAGAUAAUGACGGUAACCGGAGAAGAAGCCCCGGCUAACUUCGUGCCAGCAGCCGCGGUAAUACGAAGGGGGCUAGCGUUGUUCGGAUUUACUGGGCGUAAAGCGCACGUAGGCGGACUAUUAAGUCAGGGGUGAAAUCCCGGGGCUCAACCCCGGAACUGCCUUUGAUACUGGUAGUCUUGAGUUCGAGAGAGGUGAGUGGAAUUCCGAGUGUAGAGGUGAAAUUCGUAGAUAUUCGGAGGAACACCAGUGGCGAAGGCGGCUCACUGGCUCGAUACUGACGCUGAGGUGCGAAAGCGUGGGGAGCAAACAGG
rnacentral:rRNA from 1 species